ncrna:Paenibacillus chitinolyticus NBRC 15660 L31-Firmicutes ribosomal protein leader
CUCUGGUUCGACGAAUAGAUCCAGGGCGGAAAGAG